GGGGAUGUAGCUCAGCUGGCUAGAGCGUUUGACUGGCAGUCAAAAGGUCGUGGGUUCGACUCCCAUCUUCUCCACUA
rnacentral:tRNA from 1 species